ACUCCUACGGGAGGCAGCAGUGGGGAAUAUUGCACAAUGGGCGCAAGCCUGAUGCAGCCAUGCCGCGUGUAUGAAGAAGGCCUUCGGGUUGUAAAGUACUUUCAGCAGUGAGGAAGGUGGGUAUGUUAAUAGCAUAUUCAUUUGACGUUAGCUGCAGAAGAAGCACCGGCUAACUCCGUGCCAGCAGCCGCGGUAAUACGGAGGGUGCGAGCGUUAAUCGGAAUUACUGGGCGUAAAGCGCAUGCAGGUGGUUUGUUAAGUCAGAUGUGAAAGCCCGGGGCUCAACCUCGGAAUUGCAUUUGAAACUGGCAAACUAGAGUACUGUAGAGGGGGGUAGAAUUUCAGGUGUAGCGGUGAAAUGCGUAGAGAUCUGAAGGAUACCGGUGCGAAGGCGGCCCCCUGGACAGAUACUGACACUCAGAUGCGAAAGCGUGGGGAGCAAACAGGAUUAGAUACCCUGGUAGG
rnacentral:rRNA from 1 species